UAACCAAACAUACAACCGCAUGUGCCCCGAGUCAUCCGGCCUCAUGUCUGGCAGUCAAUCACAACCACGACAACAACAGCUUCGGCAUGCUAAUGCAGUCGUUUCGUCUUAAGGGCGCAGCUUAAACAAAGACGUCAGCUUCCACCCACCCCGCCAGCAGACGACGAAGACACGCCACGCCUCCAGCGGCCGACAGUACCCCAGAGGACGGUCAUCAACGUGACGCCCGCAGAGAAGGACCAAGGAGUGUCCUAUGCGGAGCUAAGGUACGACAUCCCCGGCCACACUGUGAAGACCGUUGACACGGAGCCGGACUCGCACUACGACAAACCCCUGCCUGGCGUGCACCCCCUCAUCAACACCUCCCCCACGUCGGAGGGCAUCUCCAAACACCCGCCGUCACCUGAGGGAGGAAACGCUCCCCCC
rnacentral:lncRNA from 1 species